UUUAGCCCAUUUAUUCUUAUUCAAUUGGGCUACUUUUAAUAUAGCCAUUAUUUCCUUAAUUCAAUUUUUUUCAGCAGAGAUUUUCUUCCUCCCCUCAACUCACGUUGAAACCGCCCCACUCUUCUCACCCCUAAAUCUCUCCCGUAUCUUUAACAACCAUUCCUCUAUAUUACUCCCAACACCAACUCAUAUAUUCAAAAUCGGAGGAAAGUAACAUAGAGAAAUCUUCUACGUUCCAAUUGCUCGAUCAAACUAAAGUUUGAGGAUAAAAAAAAUACAAAACUGCCGUGAAUUCAAUUCCUUCUGCUGCUAGGCAAUUUCUCAUCUCCAAAGGUGAUUCCUUGCAAGCGGGACGUGAUAUCGAGGGAAAGGAAAUUAAUUGUGGAGUUAAGCAUU